GAGCUGACAUGUAUGUACCUGUAGUAAGUGGACCUACUGAUGGAGCUGACAUGGAUGUACCUGUAGUAAGUGGACCUACUGAUGGAGCUGACAUGGAUGUUCCUGUAGUAAGUGGACCUACUGAUGGAGCUGACAUGGAUGUACCUGUAGUAAGUGGACCUACUGUCAGACUGAUGGAGCUGACAUGUAUGUACCUGUAGUAAGUGGACAUACUGAUGGAGCUGACAUGGAUGUAUCUGUAGUAAGUAGACCUACUGAUGGAGCUGACAUGGAUGUACCUGUAGUAAGUGGACCUACUGAUGGAGCUGACAUGGAUGUUCCUGUAGUAAGUGGACCUACUGAUGGAGCUGACAUGGAUGUACCUGUAGUAAGUGGACCUACUGUCAGACUGAUGGAGCUGACAUGGAUGUAUCUGUAGUAAGUGGACCUACUGAUGGAGCUGACAUGGAUGUACCUGUAGUAAGUGGACCUACUGUCAGACUGAUGGAGCUGAUGGAGCUGACAUGGAUGUAUCUGUAGUAAGUAGACCUACAGUCAGACUGAUGGAGCUGACAUGGAUGUAUCUGUAGUAAGUGGACCUACUGAUGGAGCUGACAUGGAUGUAUCUGUAGUAAGUGGACCUACUGAUGGAGCUGACAUGUAUGUACCUGUAGUAAGUGGACCUACUGAUGGAGCUGACAUGGAUGUACCUGUAGUAAGUGGACCUACUGUCAGACUGAUGGAGCUGACAUGGAUGUACCUGUAGUAAGUGGACCUACUGAUGGAGCUGACAUGGAUGUACCUGUAGUAAGUGGACCUACUGUCAGACUGAUGGAGCUGACAUGUAUGUAGCUGUAGUAAGUGGACCUACUGAUGGAGCUGACAUGGAUGUAUCUGUAGUAAGUGGACCUACUGUCAGACUGAUGGAGCUGACAUGGAUGUACCUGUAGUAAGUGGACCUACUGAUGGAGCUGACAUGGAUGUACCUGUAGUAAGUAGACCUACUGAUGGAGCUGACAUGGAUGUAUCUGUAGUAAGUAGACCUGCUGUCAGACUGAUGGAGCUGACAUGUAUGUACCUGUAUUAAGUAGACCUACAGUCAGACUGAUGGAGCUGACAUGGAUGUACCUGUAGUAAGUAGACCUACUGUAAGACUGAUGCUUCUGAUGGUCCUGUCAUGGUUUCAAGGACUGUUCAGAAAUCUUGUUCAUGAAUGUGUGGUGUCAAAGAACACUUUAAUAAUGAAUAAAGUUGACAUCAUAGCUUUUAUUAGUAAGGCUAUCAAUACGAUUCAGGUUGUGGAAAGCAUAAAUACCAGGUUGAAGGUUAUUGUGGAGAUGGCAAAAGAGAUAUUGGGGUUAACAGAUGUUACUGUUGAAAUGGUUGUUGACAUGCUGAACAAUCCUAAGGGUGGAGUGUUUAUGCAAAAUAUACAGUUACCAGUCAAAAGUUUGGACACCUACUCAUUCAAGGGUUUUAACUUUAUUGUAGAAUAAUAGUGAAGACAUCAAAACUAUGAAAUAACAUUUGGAAUCAUGUAGUAACAGAAAGUGUUAAACAAAUCAAGAUAUAUAUUUUUUUAAUAUAACAUAACAUGCAACAAUUUCACAGAUUUGACUGAGUUCUCCCCCUCAGACGAUCCUGCAGGUCAAGAAGCCGGAUGUGGAGGUCCUGGGCUGGCGUGGUUACACCUGGUCUGCGGUUGUAAUGCCGGUUGGACGUACUACCAAAUUCUCUAAAACAACAUUGGAGCCUGCUUAUGGACCAUGCUUCAGGACUACCUGGCUUGAUGACUCCUUGCUGUCCCAGGUCCACCUGGCCGUGCUGCUGCUCCAGUUUCAACCUGUUCACCAGACGUGCUACCUGUCCUAGACCUGCUGUUUUCAACUCUCUAGAGACAGCAGUUGAAUAAUCGGCUAUGAAAAGCCAACUGAUAUUUACUCCUGAGGUGCUGACCUGUUGCACCCACAACAACUACUGUGAUUAUUAUUAUUUGACCCUGCUGGUCAUCGAUGAACAUUUGAACAUCUCCACCCAGCAUAGCCAGAAAAGGACUGGCCACCCCUCAUAGCUUGGUUCCUCUCAAGGAUUCUUCCUAGGUUCUGGCCUUUCUAGGGAGUUUUUCCUAGCCACUGUGCUUCUACACCUGCAUUGCUUGCUGUUUGGGGUUUUAGGCUAGGUUUCUGUACAGCACUAUGUGACAUCAGCUGAUGUAAGAAGGGCUUUAUGAAUUAAUUUGACCAAUACAAUGCUUCUUCUCUGUAAUCAAAUUAACAGCAGGCUUUCAGCAUGCUUAUAGAGAAGGGGACUCAACAUGUACUGCACUGACACAAAUGACUGAUGAUUGGUUGAAAGACAUUUUGAAGAUUGUGGGAGUUGUACUGUUCGAUUUCAGUGCAGCCUUGAUAUUAUUGACCAUAACCUGUUGUUGAGAAAACUUAUGUGUUCAAGCUUUUCAACCAUAUCGUGGAUUAAGAGAUAUCUAAUAUAACAUAGGGUUUUCUUUAAUGGAAGCUUCUCUAAUGUCAAACAUGUAAAUUGUGCUGUACCGCAAGGCAGCUCUCUAGGUCCUAUACUCAUUUCUAUUUUUACCAAUGACAUGCCACUGGCAUUAAACAAAGCAUGUGUGCCCAUGUAUCCUGAUUAUUCAUCGAUAUACGCAUCAGUUGCAGUCUGUUUUGGAAUGGGUGGCCAGUAAUAAACUGGUCUUAAACAGCUCUAAAACUAAGAGCAUUGUUGCUUUCACUUCUUUGACUGCAUCACUCUUCUUCCUGUGUAUUUCUCUAUCGUGAUCUCUCUUCUUCCCGUGUCGUGAUCUCUCUUCUUCCCUAAGUUCUAGACCUCAGCUGAAUCUGGUAAUGAAUGGACUGGCUGUUGAACAAGUUGAGAAAAAAUUCACUUAGUUACCUUCGAUUGUAAACGGUCAUGGUCAAAACAUAUAAAUUAAAUGGUUGUAAAGAUGGAGGAGAGUUCUGUCCGUAAUAAAGAGAUGCUCUGGAAAGAC